rnacentral:rRNA from 1 species
UACGUAGGGCGCGAGCGUUGUCCGGAAUCAUUGGGCGUAAAGAGCAUGUAGGUGGAUCAAUUAGUCUGCUGUGAAAGUCAAAGGCUCAACCUUUGAAAGCCGGUGGAUACUGUUGGUCUAGAGUACGGAAGAGGCGAGUGGAAUUCCUGGUGUAGCGGUGGAAUGCGCAGAUAUCAGGAGGAACACCAAUAGCGAAGGCAGCUCGCUGGGACGUUACUGACACUGAGAUGCGAAAGCGUGGGGAGCAAACAGG